AUUGAACGCUGGCGGCAGGCCUAACACAUGCAAGUCGAGCGGAUGAAGGGAGCUUGCUCCUGGAUUCAGCGGCGGACGGGUGGGUAAUGCCUAGGAAUCUGCCUGGUAGUGGGGGAUAACGUCCGGAAACGGGCGCUAAUACCGCAUACGUCCUGAGGGAGAAAGUGGGGGAUCUUCGGACCUCACGCUAUCAGAUGAGCCUAGGUCGUAUUAGCUAGUUGGUGGGGUAAAGGCCUACCAAGGCGACGAUCCGUAACUGGUCUGAGAGGAUGAUCAGUCACACUGGAACUGAGCCACGGUCCAGACUCUUACGGGAGGCAGCAGUGGGGAAUAUUGGACAAUGGGCGAAAGCCUGAUCCAGCCAUGCCGCGUGUGUGCAGAAGGUCUUCGGAUUGUAAAGCACUUUAAGUUGGGAGGAAGGGCAGUAAGUUAAUACCUUGCUGUUUUGACGUUACCAACAGAAUAAGCACCGGCUAACUUCGUG
rnacentral:rRNA from 1 species